CGAGCACGCGCGUGUGGCAUAUCAAUAAGCGGAGGAAAAGAAACUAACAAGGAUUCCCUUAGUAACGGCGAGUGAAGCGGGAAGAGCUCAAAUUUGAAAUCUUCAAGGUUCUACCUUGACGAAUUGUAGUUUAUAGAAGUGUCUUCUGUUAGUGGAGUGGCAAAAGUUCUUUGGAAUAGGACAUCAUAGAGGGUGAGAAUCCCGUAUUUGGUCAUUCCUCCUAGCGUUGUGAUACACUUUCAACGAGUCGGAUUGUUUGGGAAUGCAGUCCAAAAUGGGUGGUAAAUUUCAUCUAAAGCUAAAUAUUGGCGAGAGACCGAUAGCGAACAAGUACCGUGAGGGAAAGAUGAAAAGAACUUUGAAAAGAGAGCUAAACAGUACGUGAAAUUGUCAAAAGGGAAGCGUUUGACACCAGUGUUGUUUUUCCGAAAAUCAAUUACGAAUGUUUUGUUUUUGAGGAGUUAUGACUUCAUCGGCUUGCUCCUUUCUUUAUGAAACUUUCUUAAUGCACUUUUCGGUUAACAAGUCAACAUCAAUUUCUUUUGUCGUAAAAGGGUAUGAGGAAGGUGGCUUUCUUUUCGGAGAAAGUGUUUAUAGCCUUGUGCCUCUGCAAUCGGAGGGAUUGAGGUCUGCAGCGUAGAUCCUUCGGGGUUAGAUACGUUUGUGCUAAGUUAUAGCUUUUCAUAGACAACUUGUUGACUAUGUUUAGUCUUGUAGCUUACUCGCUGACGCUAUUUUACCUACGCUUAGGAUGUUGAGCGCAUGUCUCUCUCU
rnacentral:rRNA from 1 species